UACGGGGGGGGCAAGCGUUGUUCGGAAUUACUGGGCGUAAAGGGCUCGUAGGCGGCCAACUAAGUCCGACGUGAAAUCCCAAGGCUUAACCUUGGAACUGCGUCGGAUACUGGAUGGCUUGAAUUCGGGAGAGGGAUGCAGAAUUCCAGGUGUAGCGGUGAAAUGCGCAGAUAUCAGGAGGAACACCAAUGGCGAAGGCAGCACUCUGGGACGUGACUGACGCUGAGACGCGAAAGCGUGGGGAGCAAACAGG
rnacentral:rRNA from 1 species